rnacentral:tRNA from 1 species
GGGAAUGUGGCUUAGUGGUAGAGUGCUUGCCUAACAUGCAUGAAGUCCUGGGGUCGAUUCCUCAGUACCA